GGAGGAGUCGCAUAGUGGUUUAGUGCACCGGUUUUGAAAACCGGCGUCCGCAAGGACUCGUGGGUUCGAAUCCCACCUCCUCCG
rnacentral:tRNA from 1 species